rnacentral:rRNA from 1 species
GACGAACGCUGGCGGCGUGCUUAACACAUGCAAGUCGAACGGAAAGGCCCUGCUUUUGUGGGGUGCUCGAGUGGCGAACGGGUGAGUAACACGUGAGUAACCUGCCCUUGACUUUGGGAUAACUUCAGGAAACUGGGGCUAAUACCGGAUAGGAGCUCCUGCUGCAUGGUGGGGGUUGGAAAGUUUCGGCGGUUGGGGACGGACUCGCGGCUUAUCAGCUUGUUGGUGGGGUAGUGGCUUACCAAGGCUUUGACGGGUAGCCGGCCUGAGAGGGUGACCGGCCCCAUUGGGCCUGCGAUACGGCCCGGCCUCCUACGGGAGGCAGCAGUAGGGAAUAUUGCACAAUGGGCGGAAGCCUGAUGCAGCAUCGCCGCGUGCGGGAUGACGGCCUUCGGGUUGUAAACCGCUUUCGCCUGUGACGAAGCGUGAGUGACGGUAAUGGGUAAAGAAGCACCGGCUAACUACGUG